GGGUUGUGAGGUUAAGCGACUAAGCGUACACGGUGGAUGCCCUGGCAGUCAGAGGCGAUGAAGGACGUGCUAAUCUGCGAUAAGCGUCGGUAAGGUGAUAUGAACCGUUAUAACCGGCGAUUUCCGAAUGGGGAAACCCAGUGUGAUUCGUCACACUAUCAUUAACUGAAUCCAUAGGUUAAUGAGGCGAACCGGGGGAACUGAAACAUCUAAGUACCCCGAGGAAAAGAAAUCAACCGAGAUUCCCCCAGUAGCGGCGAGCGAACGGGGAGCAGCCCAGAGCCUGAAUCAGUGUGUGUGUUAGUGGAAGCGUCUGGAAAGGCGCGCGAUACAGGGUGACAGCCCCGUACACAAAAAUGCACAUACUGUGAGCUCGAUGAGUAGGGCGGGACACGUGGUAUCCUGUCUGAAUAUGGGGGGACCAUCCUCCAAGGCUAAAUACUCCUGACUGACCGAUAGUGAACCAGUACCGUGAGGGAAAGGCGAAAAGAACCCCGGCGAGGGGAGUGAAAAAGAACCUGAAACCGUGUACGUACAAGCAGUGGGAGCACGCUUAGGCGUGUGACUGCGUACCUUUUGUAUAAUGGGUCAGCGACUUAUAUUCUGUAGCAAGGUUAACCGAAUAGGGGAGCCGAAGGGAAACCGAGUCUUAACUGGGCGUUAAGUUGCAGGGUAUAGACCCGAAACCCGGUGAUCUAGCCAUGGGCAGGUUGAAGGUUGGGUAACACUAACUGGAGGACCGAACCGACUAAUGUUGAAAAAUUAGCGGAUGACUUGUGGCUGGGGGUGAAAGGCCAAUCAAACCGGGAGAUAGCUGGUUCUCCCCGAAAGCUAUUUAGGUAGCGCCUCGUGAAUUCAUCUCCGGGGGUAGAGCACUGUUUCGGCAAGGGGGUCAUCCCGACUUACCAACCCGAUGCAAACUGCGAAUACCGGAGAAUGUUAUCACGGGAGACACACGGCGGGUGCUAACGUCCGUCGUGAAGAGGGAAACAACCCAGACCGCCAGCUAAGGUCCCAAAGUCAUGGUUAAGUGGGAAACGAUGUGGGAAGGCCCAGACAGCCAGGAUGUUGGCUUAGAAGCAGCCAUCAUUUAAAGAAAGCGUAAUAGCUCACUGGUCGAGUCGGCCUGCGCGGAAGAUGUAACGGGGCUAAACCAUGCACCGAAGCUGCGGCAGCGACGCUGAUGCGUUGUUGGGUAGGGGAGCGUUCUGUAAGCCUGUGAAGGUGUGCUGUGAGGCAUGCUGGAGGUAUCAGAAGUGCGAAUGCUGACAUAAGUAACGAUAAAGCGGGUGAAAAGCCCGCUCGCCGGAAGACCAAGGGUUCCUGUCCAACGUUAAUCGGGGCAGGGUGAGUCGACCCCUAAGGCGAGGCCGAAAGGCGUAGUCGAUGGGAAACAGGUUAAUAUUCCUGUACUUGGUGUUACUGCGAAGGGGGGACGGAGAAGGCUAUGUUGGCCGGGCGACGGUUGUCCCGGUUUAAGCGUGUAGGCUGGUUUUCCAGGCAAAUCCGGAAAAUCAAGGCUGAGGCGUGAUGACGAGGCACUACGGUGCUGAAGCAACAAAUGCCCUGCUUCCAGGAAAAGCCUCUAAGCAUCAGGUAACAUCAAAUCGUACCCCAAACCGACACAGGUGGUCAGGUAGAGAAUACCAAGGCGCUUGAGAGAACUCGGGUGAAGGAACUAGGCAAAAUGGUGCCGUAACUUCGGGAGAAGGCACGCUGAUAUGUAGGUGAAGCGACUUGCUCGUGGAGCUGAAAUCAGUCGAAGAUACCAGCUGGCUGCAACUGUUUAUUAAAAACACAGCACUGUGCAAACACGAAAGUGGACGUAUACGGUGUGACGCCUGCCCGGUGCCGGAAGGUUAAUUGAUGGGGUCAGCGCAAGCGAAGCUCUUGAUCGAAGCCCCGGUAAACGGCGGCCGUAACUAUAACGGUCCUAAGGUAGCGAAAUUCCUUGUCGGGUAAGUUCCGACCUGCACGAAUGGCGUAAUGAUGGCCAGGCUGUCUCCACCCGAGACUCAGUGAAAUUGAACUCGCUGUGAAGAUGCAGUGUACCCGCGGCAAGACGGAAAGACCCCGUGAACCUUUACUAUAGCUUGACACUGAACAUUGAGCCUUGAUGUGUAGGAUAGGUGGGAGGCUUUGAAGUGUGGACGCCAGUCUGCAUGGAGCCGGCCUUGAAAUACCACCCUUUAAUGUUUGAUGUUCUAACGUUGACCCGUGAUCCGGGUUGCGGACAGUGUCUGGUGGGUAGUUUGACUGGGGCGGUCUCCUCCUAAAGAGUAACGGAGGAGCACGAAGGUUGGCUAAUCCUGGUCGGACAUCAGGAGGUUAGUGCAAUGGCAUAAGCCAGCUUGACUGCGAGCGUGACGGCGCGAGCAGGUGCGAAAGCAGGUCAUAGUGAUCCGGUGGUUCUGAAUGGAAGGGCCAUCGCUCAACGGAUAAAAGGUACUCCGGGGAUAACAGGCUGAUACCGCCCAAGAGUUCAUAUCGACGGCGGUGUUUGGCACCUCGAUGUCGGCUCAUCACAUCCUGGGGCUGAAGUAGGUCCCAAGGGUAUGGCUGUUCGCCAUUUAAAGUGGUACGCGAGCUGGGUUUAGAACGUCGUGAGACAGUUCGGUCCCUAUCUGCCGUGGGCGCUGGAGAACUGAGGGGGGCUGCUCCUAGUACGAGAGGACCGGAGUGGACGCAUCACUGGUGUUCGGGUUGUCAUGCCAAUGGCACUGCCCGGUAGCUAAAUGCGGAAGAGAUAAGUGCUGAAAGCAUCUAAGCACGAAACUUGCCCCGAGAUGAGUUCUCCCUGACUCCUUGAGAGUCCUGAAGGAACGUUGAAGACGACGACGUUGAUAGGCCGGGUGUGUAAGCGCAGCGAUGCGUUGAGCUAACCGGUACUAAUGAACCGUGAGGCUUAACCUUACAACGCCGAAGGUGUUU
rnacentral:rRNA from 1 species